UCCUCAGUAGCUCAAUGGCAGAGCGUUCGGCUGUUAACCGAAAUGUUGUAGGUUCGAGUCCUACCUGGGGAGCCA
rnacentral:tRNA from 2 species